GACGAACGCUGGCGGCGUGCCUAAUACAUGCAAGUAGGACGCAGUUGCGAACGGGUGAGUAACGCGUAGGUAACUACCUAUUAGAGGGGGAUAACUAUUGGAAACGAUAGCUAAUACCGCGUACUAGUAGAUGGACCUGCGUUGUAUUAGCUAGUAGGUAGGGGAAUGGCCUACCUAGGCAACGAUACAUAGCCAACCUUGGGGGGUGAUCGGGCACACUGGGAACUGGGAACGGGCCAGACCUCUUCGGGGAGCAGCAAGAGGGAAUUUUCGGCAAUUGGGGGAAAGCUGAACGAGCAACGCCGCGUUGGGGAAGGAAGGUUUCGGAUCGGAAAGCUCUGUUGUUAAGGAAGCGGUACUUAACCAGAAAGGGACGGCUAACUACGUGCCAGCAGCCGCGGUAAUUC
rnacentral:rRNA from 1 species